CCUCCUUUCUCCCGAUUAUUGCUUUUGUUUCUUUUCUCUUCUUUCCUCUUCCUUCUUUCUUCUCGACCGAACAGCGACAGGGAGAGAGAUCAGAGACCGAGACACCAGAUUUACCGGUGGAUCAUCGGUGGGUCGGAGCUGACGACGCCGGUUAAGUCUGAAGAACGUUUUCCGGUGGGUUAAAGUCUGAUUUCCGGUGAUUGGGUGGAGGAUUGUUCCAUUGCCAAAUUUAGCAUUUUCCGGUGGUUCUUCUCAGCUUCAAACGAAAAUCCUCAAGCACGUGACACGAGAUUAGAGGCUAAAACUAGUUCUCCAAUGUAUAGUACGAGGUGACUAGAUCGAGGAAGAGUAUUUGAGUCAUGAGUCCAAAGCGGUCUACAGGUCUCAAUUAAACAAAUCAAGGAGAAGGAAUACGAAGAAGGAAUACAGAGAAAGAGUCCCAAGUUCACGACUCAUAUAUGCACCUAUGCGAACUUUCUCUUUUUCACACACACACACACACAUAUAU